rnacentral:rRNA from 1 species
AUGACCGCACUUAUUGACCGUUGGAGGCCAGAGACACACUCGUUCCACUUGUCAUGUGGAGAGAUGACCGUGACCUUGGAGGACAUGGCAAUGAUCAGUGGCCUUCCAAUCAAUGGAGAAGCUUUGACCGGAACAACAAGAGAGCAACAGCAAGAGGAGCAACUGCAAGAGGAGCCAGAGCAAGAGGAUGAGGAGCCAGAGCAAGACGAAGAGGAGUACAAUCAAGACGAAGAGGAGGUGCUUGGGAUGUCCCAAAUGGAUGAUGCGCCUGAGCCAUCACAACCCACACAAUGCACGCCACACAACAAAAGAGGAAGGAAGAAGUGA